GGCGCUCCCAGCGCGCAAGCCGUGCCGUCCGACGCGGAUGCAGUUACGGGAGCGCAGCGCGACCCAACGCAACUCGACUUAACGUCGCAUAUCCGGAGCCGGAUCAAACGUCGAGGCCUGGGCAAGUGGAGUGCGUGUGCGUGUGUCCGUCGUCUCGUCUCCCUCUCGCCCGUGUUUAACGCGCGAGUACCGGGAGCAGGGGGAGAGUGGCGCGAGGGGUGGACAGAGAGUGCAGGGAGUGAAAGAAAGAGGGAGAGACGCGGUUGCGGAAAGGAAGGAAGGAAGGAAGGAAGGAAAGAAAUCGGAAGGAGAAACGGAGCUCCUUGGUCCGCGCCUUGGGUCGUUGCUAGAGUGAGAGAGACAGAGAAAGACGGAGAACGCGAGGGUGAUCGUGAAAGGGUUGAAGGGCCGCGAAGUGAAAAAAAGAGGAGAGAGAUCCCAUCGCGCUGAUCGAGACGCGAAGUCGUUGUCGCCGCUGCCGCCGCCGUCAUUGUUGUUAUUGUUGUUGUUGUUGUUGUGCAUGCGCGCCGGAUUCGGUUCGGAUCGCCGAUCGUAAUGAAAUAGUCCUCGAUCGCGAGUUCGUCGUCGAUUUUCAUCGGCCGCCCCGUCGUCGCUACGGGCUGUCACGGUAAAGAGGACGAGGAGGAAGAGCACGAGCGACAGGAGAACGACUGGGUGGAAUCGGCGAGUGAGAGAAGAAGAGAUCACUGCUGAUUGUCGUUGUUAAUCGUGGUAGUACCCGCGACAGUGUUGUCGCAUCACGAUCGCAAGGGGUACGGAGACGGAGGGAGAACGCCGGUGAUCCGCGAGAACCGUGUAGACACGUCGCAGCGGAACGGAACUGGAGCAACAGGCUCCUUCCAGAGAGCGAGAGAGAGAGAAGUUGGUGAGGAGGGGGUGUGGACGGGGGUGCAUUGGUGCAUCCGUCGAUCGUCGCGGCGCCCGCGCGCCCGCGUGUCAUCAGCCCGUACGACGUGGCUCUUGUUUCGCGAUCGCCCGGUGCUCCGUUUUCGCGAGUGCACGUCUGGAAGAGGAGUCAACACGGAGUAGGGAGACUUCUUCGGAACUAAGAUUCUCGCGGAACGGAAGAAGGAUGUCGUCGAUAAAGCGUGCCGAUCGCGAGGACCGGCUGCUCGACGCGUCGGCGAGCCGCCGUGAGAAGCUCUGAAGAAGCAGUACACGCGUGAAAAAAAAAAGAAAAGAAGACGAAGGAGCUCGACGAUUCUUCCUCGCCGAGAAUAGCAACCGCCGAUCUGCGAGCGUCUUCGUGUGCGGGGACGACGAGGAAGAGGACGACGCGCGGAUCCGAUCGCCGUAGGAGAAUUCGGCGGAAGAAAA